AUUGAACGCUGGCGGCAUGCCUUACACAUGCAAGUCGAACGGUAGAGGGGGCAACCCCUUGAGAGUGGCGAACGGGUGAGUAAUGCAUCGGAACGUGCCCAGUCGUGGGGGAUAACGCAGCGAAAGCUGUGCUAAUACCGCAUACGAUCUCUGGAUGAAAGCGGGGGACCGAAAGGCCCCGCGCGAUUGGAGCUGCCGAUGUCAGAUUAGGUAGUUGGUGGGGUAAAGGCUCACCAAGCCAACGAUCUGUAGCUGGUCUGAGAGGACGACCAGCCACACUGGGACUGAGACACGGCCCAGACUCCUACGGGAGGCAGCAGUGGGGAAUUUUGGACAAUGGGCGCAAGCCUGAUCCAGCAAUGCCGCGUGCAGGAAGAAGGCCUUCGGGUUGUAAACUGCUUUUGUACGGAACGAAAAGGUCUGGGUUAAUACCCUGGGCACAUGACGGUACCGUAAGAAUAAGCACCGGCUAACUACGUGCCAGCAGCCGCCGUAA
rnacentral:rRNA from 1 species